AUAGUUUUUAAUUCUUUUGGAAGCUUAUACUAUAUUCUACUGCAGAGUAUCGAUGCAUGAAGUAUAUUAUGAAAACUGCAUUUUUAGAUCGAACAAAUUUUAACAAAAAAAUUAUCUAGUGAUUAAAAGUUUGUCUUUAUUGGCUCUAUGAUGAGAAACACAGCCAUUCCAUUAUUUUGAAAAAAAAAACGUUUGUACGCAAAAGCACGGAACAUGCAUGGUAUAGACACAAUCCAGGGUAGCAUGGCACUAGAGAACCUUCGAUCCAUGGAGGUAAAUCCAUGAUAAAUUACAGGAAUCAACUUCAUUCUGUUUUACUUUGACCGAAUAAGUAAUUAAAUAAUAUUGUAAAUAAUGGCCUUUAGUGUCCGAAAGGGCUUAUAAACAACACACAUAACCAACUCUAUUCGGUGAAAACGAAACAUGAGGAUGAACACAACGAUAAUAUUUUCACAAAAGGCAUUGCAUAUAGUGCACUUCACAAAAAAUUACAUUUCACUUUUGGCCUUAUUCGAGCCAGUGUUAGCCGUGUUAUUGAUCGCUAUAUAAGGCAUGAAUGAGAAGUAAAUCCCGCAGGAAAGUGAUUCCUGCGGCGCACAACCGUCGCUAAAAAAUCGAUCCGACGAGAAAAACUUUACAAUAAGUAAGUAAUUAGUUAAAUUGAAUAGCGAUGGUUUGUCGCACGUUCAACCUUAAUUGUUUACAACAAACAAUGCGGGACCGAACCGCAGGACAAGGACGCAGCGAGUGCGUCGAAGAUUUCCGCGAAAGUUUGGCUUAGUGCUUAAACAUUUUUAAUAUUGAUUUGUAUUCUGAUAUGUAUAUAUUCGGUAUAUCAUAGUAUGGACUAAAUACACUUUAUUGUAUUAUGUAUGUAUUAUGCAUUUACUUAGUACAUUUUGAAAAGUACUGUGCCAAAAGUCUAAGUAAAUUUUAUAGUAU